AUAAAAUAAACAUUAAUAUAAAAUAAAAAAUAAUAAAUAAACAUUAAUGGACAGAAAAAAGUAGCUCUAUAUAUAUUCUGAGUGUUUUUACUCACUUUUUGUCUCUAAUGACGUUAUUUCUCCCACAGCGUCAAUAAUAUGCACAUCACAUCAUGUGGCAGAUUAUGCAAAUUAGGCGUUGACGUCAUUCAGCGACUUCUAGCGACUUUUAGCACAGCCAAUAGCUACUUUCCUUACUGAGGAGUUGGCAACACUGACCCAGAGCCAUAGAGCUAAAAAGAGUCGCGACACUCCCAUUGGACUCCGUUGUAGGCUGUUUGCCGCCCACUUCCGGGGUAUGCAGCCUCGCAUAGUUCCAAAAAGCCAUUCUAUGGCGUCGGACAUCAUUCACUUCCAUUGCUGACUCUCGAGUAACUUCUGAGAUCUUGCUGGACCAGCAGUAUCGUUGUUGUGGCCAUCACAGGUUUCAGUGGAGCCCCCCCCCC